UGUCCUAAAAAUCGGGCUCAGUGACACCUAGCCAUAUAACAUUUCGCCAUAUAACAACUCGCCUAAGUAACAUUUUUCCAUAUAAAAACAACUCGCCUCUAUAAAAAUUUUUAAAUUAAAUUAAAUGAAAUUAUUCCAGAAAAUCCACAAAUCCAAAACCAAAAAUCCGCAGAUACAGUAAUUCCAGCAAUGUCAGGCAUGCAUCUACAACUCAGCGGGGGAAACCAUCUUCAGUUGAAAUAAACAACUUCUCCUAAACUACUAAUGGAUCCACUGCUUCAACACAGUACUGGCGCUGUGCUCAACACAAGUGUGGAGCUAAACUGACAACAAGAAAGAGUACAGGGAACUUUGGUGGAGAAAACCUGCUAUCACACAAUCAUGGAAAGAAAUUAAUGAGGAACACAGUACUGGAAAAGUUGUUGUAUCUAAGUAUGCUGAAGUUCAUGGAACAACCCCUGCUGCUGUUGUGCAAGAGAUUAGCACCAACAUGCUCCGCACAACAUUCCCAGGACAACUUGUAGUGCUUCCAGUACUGGGGCCAUUAAAAUGGCUCUUUGGAGGAAAAGACAGACAUUGGAUCCACCACCCAAGAUUCCAUGAGACUGCAUGCAGAUUGCAGAGUUCAUGUCUAUUUUUACUGCUGUCCCUGACAAGUUCUCUCAAACUGGGGAUGGGGUGGACUUUAUACUCUUUAGGGACUGGACUGACAACGACAAAAUCCAGUCAAUGGUGAUUUGCCUCAGCGGUUUUGGAGCUGAUAUUCUUCGCAACCAUUCGGUCUGGCUCUGUGAUGGCACCUUCAAAUCAACCCCAGGCCCCUUUAAGCAGAAAGAUCUGGGGUGCACUGUUUGAUCUUCAGCUUCCCUAUACUGUCCUGACACGGAGAAAGGAGUGAAGAGUUCUGUAGGAGCAACCAUGUUUAAUGUUUAACAUUACAGGACCCAAAAUACAUUCAGUUGGAAUUAGA